rnacentral:rRNA from 1 species
GACGAACGCUGUCGGCGUGCUUAACACAUGCAAGUCGAACGGAAAGGCCCUGCUUUUGUGGGGUGCUCGAGUGGCGAACGGGUGAGUAACACGUGAGUAACCUGCCCUUGACUUUGGGAUAACUUCAGGAAACUGGGGCUAAUACCGGAUAGGAGCUCCUGCUGCAUGGUGGGGGUUGGAAAGUUUCGGCGGUUGGGGAUGGACUCGCGGCUUAUCAGCUUGUUGGUGGGGUAGUGGCUUACCAAGGCUUUGACGGGUAGCCGGCCUGAGAGGGUGACCGGCCACAUUGGGACUGAGAUACGGCCCAGACUCCUACGGGAGGCAGCAGUGGGGAAUAUUGCACAAUGGGCGGAAGCCUGAUGCAGCAACGCCGCGUGCGGGAUGACGGCCUUCGGGUUGUAAACCGCUUUCGCCUGUGACGAAGCGUGAGUGACGGUAAUGGGUAAAGAAGCACCGGCUAACUACGUGCCAGCAGCCGCGGUGAUACGUAGGGUGCGAGCGUUGUCCGGAUUUAUUGGGCGUAAAGGGCUCGUAGGUGGUUGAUCGCGUCGGAAGUGUAAUCUUGGGGCUUAACCCUGAGCGUGCUUUCGAUACGGGUUGACUUGAGGAAGGUAGGGGAGAAUGGAAUUCCUGGUGGAGCGGUGGAAUGCGCAGAUAUCAGGAGGAACACCAGUGGCGAAGGCGGUUCUCUGGGCCUUUCCUGACGCUGAGGAGCGAAAGCGUGGGGAGCGAACAGGCUUAGAUACCCUGGUAGUCCACGCUGUAAACGGUGGGUACUAGGUGUGGGGUCCAUUCCACGGGUUCCGUGCCGUAGCUAACGCUUUAAGUACCCCGCCUGGGGAGUACGGCCGCAAGGCUAAAACUCAAAGGAAUUGACGGGGCCCCGCACAAGCGGCGGAGCAUGCGGAUUAAUUCGAUGCAACGCGUAGAACCUUACCUGGGUUUGACAUGGAUCGGGAGUGCUCAGAGAUGGGUGUGCCUCUUUUGGGGUCGGUUCACAGGUGGUGCAUGGCUGUCGUCAGCUCGUGUCGUGAGAUGUUGGGUUAAGUCCCGCAACGAGCGCAACCCUUGUUCACUGUUGCCAGCACGUUAUGGUGGGGACUCAGUGGAGACCGCCGGGGUCAACUCGGAGGAAGGUGGGGAUGACGUAAAGUCAUCAUGCCCCUUAUGUCCAGGGCUUCACGCAUGCUACAAUGGCUGGUACAGAGAGUGGCGAGCCUGUGAGGGUGAGCGAAUCUCGGAAAGCCGGUCUCAGUUCGGAUUGGGGUCUGCAACUCGACCUCAUGAAGUCGGAGUCGCUAGUAAUCGCAGAUCAGCAACGCUGCGGUGAAUACGUUCCCGGGGCU